CAGCGUUUGGCCCCCACUUUUCUUUCCUUCCCUUCCCUAGAACAGAGCCUCCAUGCAAGCCUGUGCCGUGGCAAGCGUCCAGCCGCAGCCCGUGGAGUCCGCAUUCUUUCCACUAGAGGGCGGUCAGCUGUGAAAGCACCUGGGAUCCCGAGAGGGGGCCUGAGAGGCAGGGGUGGAGAUGUGGCCCGAGGGACGGAGAGUCUCCUGGCCUCCGGGAGCCUUGAGCAUACUGCUCUUCCAGCUGCCUGAGCAGGUGCCCACAGGGUUUCGGAGACCUCCUGACAGCAGGUGUGGGCCCAAGGGAGCCAAAGGAUCUCCUGAGGAGAGUCUCGUUGGAGAAGACACUGGGUAGGCUUGGCACUGUUGCCGCAGAGCUGGCCAUCAACCUCCUGGGUUUGGGCCCAGGAGGGAGGUUCCAGGAGAAGCCCCUCGGAGGCUGCCCCUUGCCAGAUGAGCCCCCAGGAGCCCCCGAGUUCCACACACGGGCUUCCUCACGACUACCGGCCCCCACCUCCCCCAAAGUGGGUUUCUCCGGAGGGAUUCUCUGAAGCCGAUUUCUUCUCGCCCCUCCUCUGUCCCACCAUUGAGGCUGCUGACUCGGGCCUGGUCCUGUUUUGGAUGGCUCCCCUGCAAGCGGGAAAUGCGGCUACCCACCCUCUGCCCCGUCGUGGGCCCAGCAGCACCGACCGAGCCUUUGCCCUGUGCAGACGGGAGGUUCUCACGGUCCUCUUGGGACCCUUCGCGUCAGCAUUUCAGCCUUGGGAGCGCCCCACCCCCGUCUGAGGGGACCCGGUCCAGGCUGCCGACCCUCGGCACCUCUGUCCCCGUUGCAGAUCUCUCGCCCCAUCAGCAGGGUGUUGUGCACCUUGAGAAGCCCCCCCCAGUGCUCGUGGUGCCGGCCACCGAGCUUGAGCUCUGCUCUGAGGGCCACCAACCCAGAACCUCGCAGGAAGGUCUCCACUCCUUUGGAAAAGACUGCGUUUAUUUUCACAGUCGACCCAAGGCCGACGACGUGAUGGGGCCGGCGGGCCGGCAGGCAGGCGGGCUCAUGUUCAGCACCCCUCCCCUCAGCUGCAACGUCAACAGAAACUGUCAGGCUCCUGGCCUAUGGGCUCUGGCCGGCAUGCUCCGCCCCAUCCCCAGGCCCCUCCCCGCUCGGUUUCGGGCCGACUCACACAGCACAGCGACUUGGGGGCAAGGCCCAGCAGGAAAUUUAAAUCGUUCCUGUGUACGAUUUACUGCUAGGAGCACGACUUCUGCAGAUUUGAGGGAGCAGACUUCCUUCAGUCCCACGUGAUCACAUCUUGCUUGAGCUUGAGCUUCUUUUGCACUUUCCUGAAGUCCUCAGUCUCUGCAUUAGAGUUCUGCACUUUCUCAACCAGUUCAACUUUCUCAUCUGAAAGUUGGUCAGGAGCCUGUCUGCUAGAGUCAGUUUCAAAGUCCUUUCCGUGACCCUCUCUGAAGAUGAAAGAGACUUGCAGAAACAGAGUCAAACCAAACUGUCUGUAAAUGACAAGGAUUUCAAAAUGGCAAUGGACAAAGAAAUUUGGUUAUUUUUAUGACCUAGAACACAUCCAGAUAACAAUUAGAGUGAUGAGUGCUAACCAGGAUAAAUCAGCAUUUUAGGAAUGCUAUCUGAUUUUUAAAACCCUUAUAGAAACAUUUACCCACAGCAUAGCCUAGAUCCCUAGGAAACCAUGCUUAGCUAUGCAUGGAAACACGGUGACCAUGAAAGUUUUUCAGGCAAGUGUAGAAAAUCAAACGGGUGAGUGAAACAUCUUAGCCACUUGGUGUGAUUCAAUUCGUGUAUCAAAACAAUACUGGAAAUUUAUUUUGAUAAGGCAUCAAAAUCUUUCCUAAUCUCUUUCCCCAGAAAAGAAGAAAACUUUAAGCAAAUGAUCCUUUUAAGAGAGGGCAAAAACCAAAAUCUAAUUUGGCAACAGCUUCCCUUCGAUAUGAAAGUUCAUUGACUUCGUUCAGUUCGUUUCCAUAGUAGCCAAUUUGAUCACGCACAAAACUCUUUUCUUUGAGUUUUUUUCCCUCAUACAUUCUAGAACCUUCUUUUUACAUUAAGAAUUUGUCCUAGGGCUGCUUUCCUUUUUUAGGACCCAUUUAUCUUUCUUACCAAAACCAACAAAGACAUUUCCAUUCUUUAAAUUUUCUUGCCUGAGAACAUUCAUCCUGCUUUCCUUAGCGCACAAAGAUGUCUUCCUUCUCAAUUUUGAGUAGCUUUAAUCACAUCUCUUCCUUAGAAGUCUCAGCCUUUACAGACCUUGUUUUCAGUAGAAUCUAAGAAGGAAGCAAUUAUAAACUGUCCUUUCCAUUAGCAUUCUGUGGCUUUACAAAUUUAUAAAUAUAUUUAUAAUUUCCAGAAUCAUACUACUUCCUAGGACACUCUUAUGAUAAAAACGUAAGGCAUCUUUACUAAUAGACCCAAAGAUCUUUUGGUUUCUCUGUCAAAAUAAGCCUGAAGUAGAUAAACCUCUGUCUAAUAACUACUGUCUAAUAUUUUAUCUUAUUUGGAAAUGAUCUAGAGACUCCAUAAAUUUCUAUCAUUCAGCUGAACUUAAUAAAACUUGAAGGUGUCAAGUAA